rnacentral:rRNA from 1 species
CGAACGCUGGCGGCGUGCUUAACACAUGCAAGUCGAACGGAAAGGCCCCUUUGGGGGUACUCGAGUGGCGAACGGGUGAGUAACACGUGAGUAACCUGCCCUUGACUUCGGGAUAACUUCAGGAAACUGGGGCUAAUACCGGAUAGGAAUCCUUGCUGCAUGGUGGGGGUUGGAAAGCUUCGGCGGUUUUGGAUGGACUCGCGGCUUAUCAGCUUGUUGGUGGGGUAGUGGCUUACCAAGGCUUUGACGGGUAGCCGGCCUGAGAGGGCGACCGGCCACAGUGGGACUGAGAUACGGCCCAGACUCCUACGGGAGGCAGCAGUGGGGAAUAUUGCACAAUGGGCGGAAGCCUGAUGCAGCAACGCCGCGUGCGGGAUGACGGCCUUCGGGUUGUAAACCGCUUUCAGCAGGGGCGAAGCUUGUGGUGACGGUACCUGCAGAAGAAGCACCGGCUAACUACGUG